GGGGGCGUAGUUCAGUGGUUUAGAACGCCGGCCUGUCACGCCGGAGGUCGCGGGUUCAAAUCCCGUCGCUCCCG
rnacentral:tRNA from 1 species